rnacentral:sRNA from 1 species
GCUGGGUGCAGUAGCUUACACCUGUAAUCCCAGCACUUUGGGAAGCAGAGGCAGAUGGAUUGCUUGAGGUCAGGAGUUCGAGACCAGCCUGGCCGACAUGGUGAAACCCCAUCUCUACUAAAAAUACAAAAAUUAGCUGGACUUGGUGGCGGGCGCCUGUAAUCCCAGCUACUCAGGAGGCUGAGGCAGGAGAAUCACUUGAACCUGGGAGGUGGAGGUUGCAGUGAGCCAAGAUGGUGCCACUGCACUCAAGCCUGGGCAACACAGUGAGACUCUGUCUCA